AUGGAUAGGCAAGGCAUUUCAUCUCCGGUUUACGACAACAACGACGGCGUGAACAACCACAUCAACAAAGCGUCCAUCUUCGAUCUACAACGACAAAUGCAAGGCGCACAAUCAAGAUUGCGAGAGCGCAUCGAGAACAUCUCCAUCGACAUUCGUCACUUCGAAGCAAGGAAAAGGGACUACAUCGACAAGAAGCUUUCCGCACAUAAAGAGGAGCAAGAUGCAAGGAUGGAGGAGAUUAGAGCCUUGAUCAAGUCUUCUUCCCCUUCGUCAUCUUCAAGGCGGCGACAUUCAAGACACAAGUCUUCGGAGUGCGAAAGCGAUGCAAGUGCAAAUUGUCCUCGUCCACAUCUACAUGGCGACCACCAUCACGUUCGUGAUCAACAUCGCCAUGAAGCGCAAGUCACCUCCAAGCAUCAUGUGCACGACGACGAUGAACGACAUCUACUACGAGCUCAAGCACAACAACGACAUCAUCAUCAUGAAGAUGCUCCACAAGCGCAAGUGCACAAGUCCCAACAAGCCCUACUUCACGCCAAGUCCAAGCUUCAAGAGCACAAAAGAAGACCGCAAGACGACCACCACCAAGACGGCGCUACGGCUACAUCAACCACUUCGGCAUCUUUGCCAAGUGUUCUCAAGGCAUCUUCGCCUUUGGACGUACGGCAUCUUCGCCUACUUCGCACGAGUACGCCUACAACAACUUCUUCAAGUCCAAGGCGACCACCUACGAGCGAGGGCGACACUUCCAUCUUCGGAAGCCCCUCAAGGAAGAUGGCCGAGCAUGUGAAAUUCCCUUUGGUCAUGGACAUGAGCUACGAGGUGCCACAUCAUAUGGGCCUCCCACACCAAGACGGUGACAAGAAGGUCGAGAAAGGGCCAUCCCCUUCGACCAUGGCGACGAGCGCGAACCUCUUCAACAACAUGAAGACGGCGCCCACAUUGGACUCAUACUCCGAGUCAAGCUAUGUAACCGAGCAUGGAGACAUUUGCACCUACAUCUCUCCGCCACCCACAUAUGUCGAGAUGCCCCAUUUGUCAUGUGAGGAGAGCCACCACCACAUGAGUGACAUGAGUGACUCCAUCAUAUGUGAUAUUGAGAGCAUUCCCUAUGAGAGGAUGAGUGUGACCACCACUAGCCACACACAUGAGAGCAUGCCACACAUCCUAUGUGAGGUUGAGCGCCAUUUGAGUGACUCCACCAACAAUAUGAGUGAGAGCAUCUUUGAGGGAGUGAGUGAGCCACAACACUUAGAGAGUGAGGUAGUUGACACAACACGUGAGGCCACUAUGAUUUCUAACGACUUAACCUCUACUCCUAGUGUGUUUUCUUCUUUGGUGCUAGGUCUCUUGCAUGACGACAUUCCUACCAUCGACGAGUCCAUCCCUCCAAUGGGAAAAAUGAUGGCCAUGGUGGACGAUGAUGCACCCCCACAUGGUUCCAUCAAGAUGAAGAUGACAACGAGUGGAUCAUCAAGACCUCACCUACAACACAUGAGCGACGCACCAAAGGUAACAUAG
rnacentral:rRNA from 1 species